rnacentral:misc_RNA from 1 species
GUUACUUGAGACUGUAACUGGCUUUUAGUGAUAGACUUUACCCCAGGAAGGUACAAGACGAUAUAGACGUGCUAUAACGAGUGGGGCCACGUUGCAGUGAUACGGAACCAUCGGAGGGAAGCGCAGGAUAUAAACUGCCGGACACACGUUGCUGACAAGAGUCCGCAGCGUGCCUGGCUUGGCUGACAAUGUUGACCAUGGCCGGGGAACUACUUUGGCGGACUAUGAUCCUCGUCGCUUCCCUAAGAUGGAAAUAAAGACCAUGUCACGCGACUCCUGAUUGGUCACACGUCGCUACGGCAGCUCCACCUCAGCAACUACUCCAUGGACAACUACAACUACCUACGACUGAGAAGAUUCUAUGCACUGGCCUUCGUCGCGAGACAAAGAAUGCUUGUGGCAUCCUCACCCGAUGAGAUUAUAUCUUCACGGCUGGAUGUGUUUGGCUACAAGGUUCUACAAAGUCGGAAACGAUGUUCUUAUAUUUCUGUCGACGAGGAGAACGAGAUCCUGUUCCUUGCUGGACGAAUCUCCGUUCCCGGGUUAGCUAGGAUGACUUUUGAGGGAGAUAGCUACAGGUUGAUUUUCCCAACUAACUCUAGGUAUGGAUCUCUGCAACACAUCGCAUCGACUUCAAAAGAGAAAGUAGUGUAUGCGAAUUGUAAGCGGACACUUCUUUCCAUCACGUACCUUGGUGACGUCAAACAAGUCUUUACCCCAAGCAGCAACCUGGUUGUACGUGGCAUGGCCUUGGACCAGGGCGCUGGGGUGCUGUACUAUUCCACUCGUAGUGCAGUAUUCAAGAUAUCGCUGGCACAAAACACAACUUCAAUCAUUACUCAGGUUGAAAUUGUGCCCAAUCGUCUUUUGUAUCGUGAUAAUAAGAUGUACAUAACAAACGGAAGACUCGUCAUCAGUUUGGACCUAAACAGCACGCAGAUGAUUCAUAACAGAAAUGUAAUGGGACAUGUGUCGGUACUGUGUCUUGUGCCGUGAAUAGAUAGUGUACAUGUGUCAAUAUCUGUAUCCUGGGUAGCUGGUAAAAGGACGUAUUCGA